UUGCUUUUUUGAUGACGACCGGCGCACGGGUGCGUAACGCGUAUGCAAUCUACCUUUUGCUACUGGAUAGCCCAGAGAAAUUUGGAUUAACACAGUAUAGUAUCAUAUUACUGCAUGGUAUUUAUGAUUAAAGGCUACGGCAGAAGAUGAGCAUGCGUCCUAUUAGCUAGUUGGUGUGGUAACGGCAUACCAAGGCAACGAUAGGUAGGGGCCCUGAGAGGGGGAUCCCCCACACUGGUACUGAGACACGGACCAGACUCCUACGGGAGGCAGCAGUGAGGAAUAUUGGACAAUGGAGGCAACUCUGAUCCAGCCAUGCCGCGUGCAGGAUGACUGCCCUAUGGGUUGUAAACUGCUUUUAUACAGGAAGAACCGCUCUACGUGUAGAGCUCUGACGGUACUG
rnacentral:rRNA from 1 species